rnacentral:rRNA from 1 species
CCGCAAGGGACGCUAGUACAGGUGGUGCAUGGCUGUCGUCAGCUCGUGUCGUGAGAUGUUGGGUUAAGUCCCGCAACGAGCGCAACCUUACCCUUAGUGUUUCCCGAAAGGAUUACCCUCUAAGGGGACUGCCCCGGACAACGGGGAGGAAGGUGGGGAUGACGUCAAGUCCGCAUGCUCCUUACGUCUAGGGCUACACACGUCCUACAAUGGGGUCGACAGUGGGAUGCAAAGCCGCGAGGUGGAGCCAAUCCCCAAACGGCCUCUCAGUUCGGAUAGUAGUCUGCAACUCGACUACUUGAAGUCGGAAUCGCUAGUAAUGGCGGAUCAGCAUGCCGCCGUGAAUACGUUCCCGGGUCUU